rnacentral:SRP_RNA from 1 species
AUGAGUGGCAAUAUCGCUGGAGGGAAGCAAUUCAGCACAGCACGCUACCCGU